AUGAGUCAAGACUUUGGGGCACUGUUGGGAAGCCAUGAUAGUGUUUUGAAAUGUGAGAAGGACAUGAGAUUUGGGAGGGGCCAAGGUCAAAAUGAUAUGGUUUGACUCUUUGUCUCCACCCAAAUGUCAGGUGGAAUUUUAGUUCCUACUGCUGGAAGAGAGACCUAGUGGGAGGUGAUUGGAUCAUGGGGGAAGACUUCCCCCUUGCUGUUCUCAUGAUAGUGAGUGAGUACUCACAAGAUCUGGUUGUUUGAAAACGUGUAGCACUUCCCCCUUCUCUCUCUCGCUCUCUCUCCUGUCACCAUGUGAAGAUGUACCUGCAUCUCCUUCACCUUCUGCAUGACUGUAAGUUUCCUGAGGUCUUCCCAGCCAUGCUUCCUGUACAGCCUGCAGAACUCAUAUUGGAAAUUUUUACUUCUGAGAAUAGCAUGUGGUGUUCAAGAUACUACUCUUAUUGCUUGGCAUUUUAUUCUAUGCAGUUCUCAGGAUAUAUGUAAAUCUGGAGUUGGAGGAAAUCAAAGCACGGAAAUGGAAUCAGGGACAUUAUACACUGUCGCUUAAAGGCACGUUCUCUGCCAUUGUAUUACCUGUGGUGCAAAUCCUGCUUCUGCCAGUGAUGUCCUUGGCAAAUUACCUGACCCCUCUAUGCUUUAGUUUUCUGUAUCUUUAUAUAGAAAUAAUAACAAUAAUACCCAUCUAUUAAGGUUGUUGUAAGAAUUAAAUGAGUUAAUACAUAUAUAAGGCUUAGGAUAGUGUCUGAUAUGUAAUAAUAUGUAACCUUAGAUCCUCCCUAAUUACUUUUAUGUUUUUUAUUAUAUCUCUAUUAAAAUGUUUAAUGAACAUAAAGUUUAAAUGAUUUUGUACUCAGGGGGACAUAAACUUGCACUGUUUUUGCACGAGAUGCUGUACAUAACAGAGUUUCUAGCACCUUAGAGUUUGUAAAGUGUAGAAUGAGUAGCAUUCUCUGAGUCUAGGUUAGUACUUUGAUGUUUAGAUGUAUUGAAACUGAUGCUUCGCAUAUUUAUUUCUUUAAAACAUAAACUGACUAAAGUCUACAUGUUCAUGUGCAGGUAAUAUGGCCAAUAUGGGCUUCAAUUAGCUAAACCAAUCUCAGUCACAUUCCUCUAUUUGGCUGGGCAGAAAUGGUUUAGGAUUAAAAUACUUGACUAUUUGAGUUAAAUACAUCCAGCCUGAUCAUCAGGUGCCACACCAUAAAUUAUUCCUUUCAAAGCCCUUUUUGGUACUUGGAUUAAGUAAUUAUCCUACCUGCCUAAGUGCUUUACAAAGUGGGUUGCUUUUGCUAACCUAGGCUCUCCCAAGUUUUCAUAAUACCAUUAUUACUUUAACAUACCAUUCCAUUAUUGCCAUGAGACAAUCCUGUAAGGUAAACAUUACCAAAUUUCACUCAUUGGUCAGAUUAUUUAAUUCCCAGACAAGGUUUUCACUGGUUCUUAAAGUUUGUUAUAGUGGAAUUUGGGUCAUCCUAAUGUCAUGUAGCAUGUUCUAAAGGGAUUAAAUGGGACACAAAGGGAGACAGAGGCAUAUUUAAAAAUGUCUAAAUAUGAGUAACAAUUCUGUCACUGGUAGGUUAAAUUAUUAAUAAUUGUAGAGAAAAUAAUGUUUGUCUAUUAUGAGAUAAUAAACUACUAUAUUGC
rnacentral:lncRNA from 1 species